AACCGGAUUAGAUACCCUGGUAGUCCUAGCCCUAAACGAUGAUCGCUUGGUGUGGCGGGUACCCAAUCCCGUCGUGCCGUAGCUAACGCGUUAAGCGAUCCGCCUGGGGAGUACGGUCGCAAGGCUGAAACUCAAGGGAAUUGACGGGGGCCCGCACAAGCGGUGGAGCAUGUGGUUUAAUUCGACGCAACGCGAAGAACCUUACCUGGGCUCGAAAUGUAGUGGAAUCCAUCGGAAACGGUGGCGUCUCGCAAGAGACCGCUAUAUAGGUGCUGCAUGGCUGUCGUCAGCUCGUGUCGUGAGAUGUUGGGUUAAGUCCCGCAACGAGCGCAACCCUUGUUACCAGUUGCUACCAUUUAGUUGAGCACUCUGGUGAGACCGCCUCGGAUAACGGGGAGGAAGGCGGGGAUGACGUCAAGUCCUCAUGGCCUUUAUGUCCAGGGCUACACACGUGCUACAAUGGCCGGUACAAACCGUUGCAAACCCGCGAGGGGGAGCUAAUCGGAAAAAGCCGGCCUCAGUUCGGAUUGGAGUCUGCAACUCGACUCCAUGAAGCUGGAAUCGCUAGUAAUGGCGUAUCAGAACGACGCCGUGAAUACGUUCCCGGGCCUUGUACACACCGCCCGUCACAUCACGAAAGUGGAUUGUACUAGAAGCUCGCACGCCAACCGCAAGGAGGCAGCGGUCCAAAGGUAUGAUUCAUGAUUGGGGUGAAGUCGUAACAAGGUAACCGUAA
rnacentral:rRNA from 1 species